rnacentral:rRNA from 1 species
GACGAACGCUGGCGGCGUGCCUAAUACAUGCAAGUAGAACGCUGAAUAGAGUAGCUUGCUCUUCUUGGAUGAGUUGCGAACGGGUGAGUAACGCGUAGGUAACCUGCCUUGUAGCGGGGGAUAACUAUUGGAAACUAUAGCUAAUACCGCAUAACAAUAGCCGCCACAUGUCAUUUAUUUGACUGGGGCACUUGCUGCACUACAAGAUGGACCUGCGUUGUAUUAUCUAUUAGGUGUGGGAAUGGCUCACCUAGGCGACGAGAAAUAGCCUACCUUAGAGGGGGACCGGCCACACUGGGACUGAAACACGGCCCAGACUCCUACGGGGGGAAGCAGUAGGGAAUCUUCGGCAAUGGGGGCAACCCUGACCGAGCAACGCCGCGUGGGCUAAGAAGGUUAUCGGGUCGGAAAGCUCAGGGGUAAGUCAAGAACGAGUGUGAGAGUGGAAAGAGCACACUGUGACGGAAGCGUAGCAGAAACGGACGGCAAACUAUUU